GAGCUGUCGUUAGUACGAGAGGACCGGGAUGGACGCAACGCUGCUGUACCAGUUGUCUCGCCAGAGGCAUCGCUGGGUAGCUACGUGCGGACGGGAUAAGUGUUGAAAGCAUCUAAGCAUGAAGCCCCCCUCAAGAUGAGACGUCCCAUUACUCAAGUAAGUAAGAUCCCAUGAAGAUGACGAGGUAGAUAGGUUCGGGGUGGAAGUGUGGUGACACAUGGAGCUGACGAAUACUAAUCGAUCGAGGACUUAACCAAUAAC
rnacentral:rRNA from 1 species